UACGUAGGGUGCAAGCGUUGUCCGGAAUUAUUGGGCGUAAAGAGCUCGUAGGCGGUCUGUCGCGUCGGCUGUGAAAUCCCGGAGCUCAACUCCGGGUCUGCAGUCGAUACGGGCAAACUGGAGUACUGCAGGGGAGACUGGAAUUCCUGGUGUAGCGGUGAAAUGCGCAGAUAUCAGGAGGAACACCAGUGGCGAAGGCGAUCACCUGGGGUUGUUCUGACGCUGAGGAGCGAAAGCUAGGGGAGCAAACGGG
rnacentral:rRNA from 1 species